rnacentral:rRNA from 1 species
UACGAGGGGAGCAAGCGUUGUUCGGAUUUACUGGGCGUAAAGGGCGCGUAGGCGGUCUUGACAAGUCACUUGUGAAAUCUCCGGGCUUAACUCGGAACGGUCAAGUGAUACUGUCGGACUAGAGUACAGAAGGGGCAACUGGAAUUCUCGGUGUAGCGGUGAAAUGCGUAGAUAUCGAGAGGAACGCCUGCGGCGAAGGCGGGUUGCUGGGCUGAUACUGACGCUGAGGAGCGAAAGCGUGGGGAGCGAACAGG